AUUGAACGCUGGCGGCAGGCCUAACACAUGCAAGUCGAACGGAAGAAGGGUGCUUGCUUGUGGUUUCAGAGGGGGAAGGGUGAGUGUUGCAUGGGAAUCUCCCUGGCUGUGGUUGGUGACGACCGGAGACAGGCGCUAAUACCGCAUGAGUGCAGAGGGAGAAGGAGGGGGAGCGUCGGACCUCUCGCUCUGAGGGGAGUGUAGGUCGGAUUAGCUAGUUGGUGGGGUGAAGGGCUACCAAGCCGACGAUCCGUAACUGGUCGGAUAGGAUGAGCAGUCACACUGGAACUGAGACACGGUCCAUACUCCUGCGGGAGGCAGCAGUGGGGAAUAUUGGACAAUGGGCGAAAGCCUUAUCCAGCCAUCCCGCGUGUGUGAAGAAGGUCUUCGGAGUGUAAAGCCCUUUUUGUGGGGAUGAAGGGCAGUAGGUUAAUACCAAGCUGUUUUGACGUUACCAACAGAAUAAGCACCGGCUAACUUCGUG
rnacentral:rRNA from 1 species